GGGUUGUGGCUCAUCGGUAGAGCACUCGACUUGCACGUGAAGACCCUGGGUUCAAUCCUCAGAUCCA
rnacentral:tRNA from 1 species